UCCGAGUUGACCCCGGCAGUCUCCUAUGAGUCCCCGACAUUACUCGCUGGCAACAUAGGACGAGGGUUGCGCUCGUUGCGGGACUUAACCCAACAUCUCACGACACGAGCUGACAACAGCCAUGCACCACCUGUACACCUGCCCCGAAGGGCUGCCGUAUUUCUACGGCAUUCAGAUGCAUGUCAAGCCCUGGUAAGGUUCUUCGCGUUGCGUCGAAUUAAACCACAUGCUCCGCUGCUUGUGCGGGCCCCCGUCAAUUCCUUUGAGUUUUAGCCUUGCGGCCGUACUCCCCAGGCGGGGCACUUAAUGCGUUAGCGACGGCGCGGAAGGAGUCGACACCUCCCACACCUAGUGCCCAUCGUUUACGGCGUGGACUAC
rnacentral:misc_RNA from 1 species